rnacentral:tRNA from 2 species
AGUAGGAUGGCUGAGAAAAUGAUAGGUGAUAAAUUGUAAAUUUAUUUAGGGGCUUUGGCCCUUCUACUA